rnacentral:rRNA from 1 species
CCUACGGGAGGCAGCAGUGGGGAAUUCCGACAAUGGGGGAAACCCUGAUCCAGCCAUCCCGCGUGUAUGAUGAAGGCCUUCGGGUUGUAAAGUACUUUUGGCAGAGAAGAAAAGGUAUCCCCUAAUACGGGAUACUGCUGACGGUAUCUGCAGAAUAAGCACCGGCUAACUACGUGCCAGCAGCCGCGGUAAUACGUAGGGUGCAAGCGUUAAUCGGAAUUACUGGGCGUAAAGCGUGUGUAGGCGGUUCGGAAAGAAAGAUGUGAAAUCCCAGGGCUCAACCUUGGAACUGCAUUUUUAACUGCCGAGCUAGAGUAUGUCAGAGGGGGGUAGAAUUCCACGUGUAGCAGUGAAAUGCGUAGAUAUGUGGAGGAAUACCGAUGGCGAAGGCAGCCCCCUGGGAUAAUACUGACGCUCAGACACGAAAGCGUGGGGAGCAAACAGGAUUAGAUACCCUGGUAGUCCACGCCCUAAACGAUGUCAACUAGCUGUUGGGGCCGUUAGGCCUUAGUAGCGCAGCUAACGUGUGAAGUUGACCGCCUGGGGAGUACGGUCGCAAGAUUAAAACUCAAAGGAAUUGACGG